UUUACCACUCAUGACACAAAUAUUUAAAAGUCAUGAAACAAGCAAGAGCAUUGUUAUUUUGUAAUAAAUUUGGGAACUAAGAAUUGGACGUCGUACUUGGGUGAAUGUCUUUUCUUGCAAUUGAAUAGUUUUUUGAAACUAAAGCCGAAAAUGAAAAAACUUUCUCCUCGAAGAGGAGCUGCCCAGCAAAUAAUCAGUGAGGCAGGUGCAUCAUUUUAUUGAAGGGAAAAUAUUAUUAUUAUUAUUUUAAAUUAUCAUUACCUCCACAGGCACGUUCAGUGGCAUUUUUUGGUUGGUUACUUUAUAUCUAUGAUUUCUGUAUAAUGUCACGUCUCCUUAAUUUCACCUUAGCAUCAUUACUCAUGCAGUCAGUCAGUCAGUCAGGUUGGAAGCAGCUGUCUCUCUUCUGGGCUCCCCCUUUCAUUUCGUACGGUGCACGAGGAGCCAUAUUUCAACUUUGAUUCCUCCGUUACCGCAUCGAUCUUACCUCGUUUUCCUUCUGUGGUGAAGAGUACUCUUGGAGGCAUCAGUAUUCAUUGAUCAUAUCAGCUACUCAGAAACUAUUUUUAUAGCUGGUUCUAACAGAGAACAGAGCUAGCAGGAACAGAGAUGUGAAUAAAUUUUCUUCUUGAUUAUAAUAUUUUUCUUGCCAUAGUAAUGUUACGAGGAGCAGCAUAAACUCCACAUUUGAAAUAGAAGUCGCCUGGCCCUCGACCCUUGGUGGAAUACUUUUGCUCGCCAUCAACGUAUACAGUCACCCAAUCUCCAU